CCAAUUGUUCCGUCAAUCGUAACCUACCGGUGCAUGCUGGGCUGGUAACGGCCUGGUGUGAAGCCACCGGAACAACGUACCCGUUCAUUGAACGACGGCACGCUCGCGAGAGGGUGGCGUUGUCUGCCAGCGUCGAGGCGGAUGGGGUG
rnacentral:ncRNA from 1 species